rnacentral:rRNA from 1 species
UUAGUGGCGCACGGGUGCGUAACGCGUGGGAAUCUGCCCCUUGGUUCGGAAUAACAGUUGGAAACGACUGCUAAUACCGGAUGAUGACGUAAGUCCAAAGAUUUAUCGCCGAGGGAUGAGCCCGCGUAGGAUUAGGUAGUUGGUGUGGUAAAGGCGCACCAAGCCGACGAUCCUUAGCUGGUCUGAGAGGAUGAUCAGCCACACUGGGACUGAGACACGGCCCAGACUCCUACGGGAGGCAGCAGUGGGGAAUAUUGGACAAUGGGCGAAAGCCUGAUCCAGCAAUGCCGCGUGAAUGAUGAAGGCCUUAGGGUUGUAAAGCUCUUUUACCCGGGAUGAUAAUGACAGUACCGGGAGAAUAAGCUCCGGCUAACUCCGUGCCAGCAGCCGCGGUAAUACGGAGGGAGCUAGCGUUAUUCGGAAUUACUGGGCGUAAAGCGCACGUAGGCGGCUUUGUAAGUAAGAGGUGAAAGCCCAGAGCUCAACUCUGGAAUUGCCUUUUAGACUGCAUCGCUUGAAUCAUGGAGAGGUCAGUGGAAUUCCGAGUGUAGAGGUGAAAUUCGUAGAUAUUCGGAAGA